UCCACUCAUUCAUGUAUUAAUUCUUGCAACUGACAAGUAACUAUUGACCAUCUGCUGUGUCAGAGAACACAGUUCACAGUGACAGGGAUGAACAAGACAGACAAGGUCCUGCUCUCCUGCAGCCUACAGUUCUGGAGUACAGAAGUCUGAAAUGGGUCUCACUGGGCUAAAAUCAAGGUGUCAGCAGGCCCGCAUUUCUUCUGGAGGCGCAAACCCAAUUCCUAGCCUUUUCCUUGGCCUGUGGCCUCUUUCCACCUUCAAAAUGAACUAUUCCAAACAAGCUGAUUCUCUUGGCAAAACAGCCCCAUCAAGAGUCUCACCAGCCUCUCCCUUGGGAACAUAAAGACUCAGACAAGCGGGGGAAAGACAAGGCUACACACCUGUCCCCAAUGGAAAAAGGAAGAACACACCUGGAAAGCAGCUCUGACAACAGGAGCCAAGGGGAGGAGAACAGUAAUUGGAGGAAAGAGACUGCUUCCAAUCUGUUGCUGGUUUAUAAGGUAAAUCUAUUCCUGGUGUAAAAGGGAUACAGUAGCAGCACAAUAAAAACUGGGACAAGG